rnacentral:lncRNA from 1 species
AGCCUCGCUGCAUGGUGUCUACAGGGAGAUUUUUCCAAGAGGCCUUCCAUGUCAUUGGUGGUUAAGGCAUUGGAAGGUUUGGUGACUGUUGAAACCAACUUGAAUUAUGAUUUCACACAUGUACCUGAGGUUGGAGCAGGCAACCAACAGAGGGAAGUCAUUAUCAGUUCAAAAUUUCCUUCAAUUUUAUCAGGACCAAGGUAAACAAUAUGCUUAUGAUUUUGGAUUUAAAGGAACCAAAUAUGGUUGCAUAAUGUCAAAUAUUACAACGUGUUGAAUUCUAGCAUAACUUUUUUUUUGACAAAAAAAAAAAGUUAUGCUAGAAUUCAAAACGUUGCAAUACAUUUUUUAUGGUGUAUGAGACUAUAAUUCAUGUAAUGUAAUGUUCAGUAACUUCUAUACUAAAUUUUUGAGCUUCAUGUAGAGGCUUCUCAAUUCGUGUGUGAAAAUAAGUAUAACAUUGUAUGUGUUGGUCCAGCUACUGAAUUCAAAUGGUAGUAUGCAGUAAGCUUUAUUGUAUUAUGCUAUUGGAAAAGGCCAUUUUCUUGUUUUUUCGUGAGAUACACACCUAUCAAAUGAUCCAUUAACCAUGUAAGCCUGUGUAUUAUGUAUGCUAAUAUGAUUUGGUUCGGUUGGUUUCUCUUUAUCCAAUCUUAGCACAUUCAAUACGUCGAGAGGCAUCACAACACAAAAGCAUCUGUGCUGUCAUUUUCCAAACUUCUGUGCCAUAAAUUCCCAAGUCCAAGUCACUUGUUAUUCCACUCUACACAAUACCUUAGUCAAUACACACAGGGCCGUGCCUCAGAAAAAAUUUCUUCAAUGUACUAUAUUUUUCCAAACUUAAAUUUGACUAUGGGUGAGUUCACAUAUUCGGUUGGAAGGAAAAUGUUUUCUAGAAAAAUAAUGAGACCGGGUUCUAUCUUUCCACUAAUGGGACCAUUUCCAAGUUACAAUUACGUUAUUGUUCAACCUCGCAGACAAAUCAAGGUCACUACAGCUUUCAUUUACCUCAUGUUAUGCUUCCGAUCCUCACUCCUCUGUAUUUGAGGUGCACAACCUCCUACUCAUCGAGGCCUAGCACUUGUCCCAAAGCAUUAUUCAUUUUUUGAGGCUACUUGAUUCGGCAAGUGAGUUGCUACACACUCCUUAGGGAUUUCAACUUUCUUGAUAUGAAUAAGUUGUUGCAUCUCUUCGCAUAGAUUCAGACUAACCUAUCAUUUUAUUUAUUUAUUUUGCUUGAAGAAAAAAACAUGGAACUCCAUAUAACUUGUUGGAAGUAAACUAGGAUUAUAAUGGUACUAAACACAAUGCAAAUGAUGCAAAGCAUACAUAGAUACAAAUUUCAAUUAUUCCGAAGAGAAAGAUAAUCUACCUAAGCGCGCAAGCAAAAACAAUGAUCUACCUGGGAGCAUAAGACGUUCAUACUGCUCCAAGGAAACUUUGCUGGUGCAGCGCCAACAUCACUACGUUCUCCACCACGGCCACGACCAAAUCUCAACUUCAAAACCGUAGAGGGUCUCUUUUUAUCUCAAUCUUGGAAGCAGAGGGGAUGGUUUUGAGGGAGAUCGGCAUGAGAAGUUUAAUCGGAAGAUUUGCGAAAUUCACAGUUCUUCUGCCCAAUUCACAAUAAUACGAAUUACCUUGACAGAACUACAAAGUCGAUCGAAACGCAAGUUUCGAAGAAAGCAGAUGGCAGAUGAAGAGAGCAGCAGAGAACAGAUUAACGCAGAAAUGCAAAACUGAUUAGCCUUAAAUUAUAGAAUGACCGGAAUACCCUUCAACUUCACGGUUUUUUGAUUUAUUUUCAAUUGUGCAUAUAUUAAUCUUUUAGAACUUUUAUUGUCAAACAAAAUAUUCUAAAUAUUAUAUUCUUUGAUACUUUUAUUUCC